CCUACGAGCGGCUGCAGUGGGGAAUAUUGGGCAAUGGGCGCAAGCCUGACCCAGCAAUGCCGCGUGAAGGAAGAAGGCUUUCGGGUUGUAAACUUCUUUUACAGGGGAAGAGCAGAAGACGGUACCCUUUAAACAAGCCACGGCUAACUACGUGCCAGCAGCCGCGGUAAUACGUAGGUGGCAAGCGUUGUCCGGAUUUACUGGGUGUAAAGGGCGUGUAGCCGGGAAGGCAAGUCAGAUGUGAAAUCUCGAGGCUCAACCUCCAAAGUGCAUUUGAAACUGUUUGUCUUGAGUACCGGAGAGGUAGACGGAAUUCCUUGUGUAGCGGUGAAAUGCGUAGAUAUAAGGAGGAACACCAGUGGCGAAGGCGGUUUGCUGGACAGCAACUGACGGUGAGGCGCGAAAGCGUGGGGAGCAAACAGGAUUAGAUACCCGGGUAGUC
rnacentral:rRNA from 1 species